UGUACAUGAAAUGAAAUAAACUAACAAUGCACAUAGGCAGCAUAUCAUGCAUUCCUAUUACUAAACAAGCAAAUAUCAAAGUUCUGGAUAUAAAAAUCAGAGCAACAGUUAUCAUCGGAGUGCUACACAUUGAUUAAAUGAAAAAAUUGCACAGUUGCCUACUUCAUGUCAGAGCUGUCUCAUGGAGAAUGAUAGAUACAAAUUGACACAUGAGUUCGAUUUCGACGAGUCACUGAAGUACUUGAAUCAGACGUCAAAUAUGUUUCAUCAAUCUACACAACUCUGUAUGCAAUAGCAAAAGUCAUUUGUCACCUUCGUACCUUUGUUGUGAGUAGAACCUCCGAUCUCCAAUGCAUCAUCAUCAGGAAAGAGGCACGGGGCUUGAAAGACCACCAUCGAGUGAAGCAAAUCAACAGUGUUCACCACUAAAAGCGACCGAGUCGUUCGUACAUUCAGGAAACGAUCGAAUGGAAGAUUCAAGUACUGAAGUCAACUGAAGAUAAAAAUCAACAACAGCCUACAAUUGAAGAGUCGCAAUUGAAAAUAUGCCAGAUGGUCGACAUGAACCACAACAAGCUUCCUGCAUUCAAGCGUGACGUUGGUGCGAUGUCAAACAACAAUGAAGAUCAUUCAGCAAAGUCAAAUUCAGGAACGAAAACAAAAGGAAGCAACCAGACUACUAAGUGGAAGGAAAAAUUACAAGGG